GACGAACGCUGGCGGCGUGCUUAACACAUGCAAGUAGAACGCUGAAGCUCAGCUUUUGUUGGGUGGAUGAGUGGCGAACGGGUGAGUAACACGUGAGUAACCUGCCCCCUUCUUUGGGAUAACGCCCGGAAACGGGUGCUAAUACUGGAUAUUCACUGGUCUUCGCAUGGGGGUUGGUGGAAAGGGUUUUUCUGGUGGGGGAUGGGCUCGCGGCCUAUCGGCUUGUUGGUGGGGUGAUGGCCUACCAAGGCUUUGACGGGUAGCCGGCCUGAGAGGGUGACCUGGCACAUUGGGACGGAGAUACGGCCCAGACUCCUACGGGGGGCAGCAGUGGGGAAUAUGGCACAAUGGGCGCAAGCCUGAUGCAGCGACGCCGCGUGAGGGAUGGAGGCCUUCGGGUUGUGAACCUCUGUCGCUCAUGGUCAAGCCGCAACAAUGGUUGUGGUGAGGGUAGUGGGUAAAGAAGCGCCGGCUAACUACGUG
rnacentral:rRNA from 1 species